rnacentral:rRNA from 1 species
CGGAGGGUGCAAGCGUUAUCCGGAUUCACUGGGUUAAAGGGUGCGUAGGUGGGCCUGUAAGUCAGUGGUGAAAUCUCCGAGCUUAACUUGGAAACUGCCAUUGAUACUAUAGAUCUUGAAUAUUGUGGAGGUCAGCGGAAUAUGUCAUGUAGCGGUGAAAUGCUUAGAUAUGACAUAGAACACCAAUUGCGAAGGCAGCUGGCUACACAUAUAUUGACACUGAGGCACGAAAGCGUGGGGAUCAAACAGGAUUAGAUACCCUGGUAGUCCACGCCCUAAACUAUGGAUACUCGACAUUUGCGAUACACUGUAAGUGUCUGAGCGAAAGCAUUAAGUAUCCCACCUGGGAAGUACGAUCGCAAGAUUG